ACACAUGCUAGUCGAGCGGUAGCACAGAGAGCUUGCUCUCGGGUGACGAGCGGCGGACGGGUAAAUAAUGUCUGGGAAACUGCCUGAUGGACGGGGAUAACUACUGGAAACGGUAGCUAAUACCGCAUAACGUCGCAAGACCAAAGUGGGGGACCUUCGGGCCUCAUGCCAUCAGAUGUGCCCAGAUGGGAUUAGCUAGUAGGUGGGGUAACGGCUCACCUAGGCGACGAUCCCUAGCUGGUCUGAGAGGAUGACCAGCCACACUGGAACUGAGACACGGUCCAGACUCCUACGGGAGGCAGCAGUGGGGAAUAUUGCACAAUGGGCGCAAGCCUGAUGCAGCCAUGCCGCGUGUGUGAAGAAGGCCUUCGGGUUGUAAAGCACUUUCAGCGGGGAGGAAGGCGAUAAGGUUAAUAACCUUGUCGAUUGACGUUACCCGCAGAAGAAGCACCGGCUAACUCCGUGCCAGCAGCCGCGGUAAUACGGAGGGUGCAAGCGUUAAUCGGAAUUACUGGGCGUAAAGCGCACGCAGGCGGUCUGUCAAGUCGGAUGUGAAAUCCCCGGGCUCAACCUGGGAACUGCAUUCGAAACUGGCAGGCUAGAGUCUUGUAGAGGGGGGUAGAAUUCCAGGUGUAGCGGUGAAAUGCGUAGAGAUCUGGAGGAAUACCGGUGGCGAAGGCGGCCCCCUGGACAAAGACUGACGCUCAGGUGCGAAAGCGUGGGGAGCAAACAGGAUUAGAUACCCUGGUAGUCCACGCCGUAAACGAUGUCGAUUUGGAGGUUGUGCCCUUGAGGCGUGGCUUCCGGAGCUAACGCGUUAAAUCGACCGCCUGGGGAGUACGGCCGCAAGGUUAAAACUCAAAUGAAUUGACGGGGGCCCGCACAAGCGGUGGAGCAUGUGGUUUAAUUCGAUGCAACGCGAAGAACCUUACCUGGGUCUUGACAUCCACAGAACCUUCCAGAGAUGGAUUGGUGCCUUCGGGAACUGUGAAGACAAGGUGCUGCAUGGCUGUCGUCAGCCUCGUGUUGUGAAAUGUUGGAUUAAGUCCCGCAACGAGCGCAACCCUUAUCCUUUGUUGCCAGCGGUUAGGCCGGGAACUCAAAGGAGACUGCCAGUGAUAAACUGGAGGAAGGUGGGGAUGACGUCAAGUCAUCAUGGCCCUUACGACCAGGGCUACACACGUGCUACAAUGGCAUAUACAAAGAGAAGCGACCUCGCGAGAGCAAGCGGACCUCAUAAAGUAUGUCGUAGUCCGGAUUGGAGUCUGCAACUCGACUCCAUGAAGUCGGAAUCGCUAGUAAUCGUAGAUCAAGAAUGGUACGGUGAAUACGUUCCCGGGCCUUUUACACACCGCCCGUCACACCAUGGGAGUGGGUUGCAAAAGAAGUAGGUAGCUUAACCUUCGGGAGGGCGCUUACCACUUUGUGACUCAUGACUGGGGUGAAGUCG
rnacentral:rRNA from 1 species